UUCAUCUAGCUUUGUACCCAGUCCAUGACACUUCCAUGGAAGAGCCUGCUUAUUCAUUGCCUCAUAUAGGAUAUUAAUCAAGUCUUUCGAAAUAAAGGAAGAACUCACCUGGAUUUGAACCCAGUCCCUCAAUGGGAGCAGCACAGCAUACAAAGGAAUUAACCACUGCACCACCUGUCCCCUUGCAGCAAGCACAUCUUGCACAGAAGAUCUUAUAUCAUCCUCUUUAUAUUAUUUGUAUGCUUAAACCACUGACACCGUGUCCCAUUUUGGCAUGCUUUUAUCACUGUCAGAACGCUUCAGGGAUCACGUUCACAGGAAUGAGCCUUUGGGAGCACUGGAGCCUUGUGUGAAGACACUCAGGAACGACUGCGCGGCUUUCCUGAGAAUGAAGACACAUGAAAGCCCUCGGUAUUCAAUAAUGUGUCAGAUUUUAACCAAGCUCGUGACAAAGAUGGGGGUGGGCCUCCUAUACAUUGUAGUACCAGCGGGAAGCCAGCUUGGCCCGGUCAAUAUCACUGUGCAGGGAGCGGUCAGGGCACCUUUCUUCAAAGCUGGUCAGAGCAGCAUAUCGGAGUGGCAGAGGACAGUGCGGCACUACAGCGCUCCCUGGGCCGAGCUGGAGGCUGACAGCAUCAUCCUGACUGUCCCCUCGGACAGCGUUCGCCACCUGGACGACCCGAGCCUCUGCUCUGCCUGUGGAACAGGAUCACAAGGGUCAUCGCAGUGCUGGCAGCCAGACCCCACCCGUUCCCCAGGCCAGAGCGCAUUCUGUCCGACUUCCAGAUCUGUGCUGGCAAGUUCUGUCAAACCUGCUUUUAGGAAACUGCCUUAAGAGUGCUCUUUACAUCCAGUUUGUUUCUCUUUAUAGCCAAUGGCCAGUUAUAUUUCCGCUUCGUUUUCCCCAUAAAUGAGUUUAAGCAGCUUAAGAAUCAAUACCCCAGCUAAGCCAAAAUGUAUCCUUGUGUCAUACUCAAACUGAAUACUUACGGGGUUUCAUGCAACCAGACCUAGUUUUUUGUUUAUUUUUUUCAACUUAUUUUACAUUGGAAACGUACCAUAUCAGCAGGUAUUGAAGUGUCCUUACACGGGUGGUCCUCCAGUGACACGGUCUUUACUAGAGACAAGACAGUAGCUGGUUUAUGCAUUCACUUUUCCUAACCAAUACCCUUGCACUUGACCUGCAGACACUGAUUGAACAGGUUUCAUCUGAUUCAAACCUUAAACCUGAAAUGAUCAUAUGCACUUUGCUUAAAAAAAAAAAAAAAAAUGUAAUUGACUAAUCUCUGUUAGUUUUUUAUGUUCGGCUUUUGUAUAGGUUUUAAAAUUUGCCAUUCGUUUUCAUGGACAGCAUUAUUAAAGUCCUGAGGUGUAUGGAGAUAGUACUGUAUAAAUGACAAUACCUAAUAAAAACGUAAAAGCCAGUCGUUUCUCUUUGCUCUUUCUGUUGACUCUCACAGACUGGAUGCUUCACUUGGACUCUGUGAAGGAGAUUGCUCACCUGGACUUCAUGACCGCCAAUAGCAUAUGGCGCCCCAUCCACAAGUUAGGACACAGCCAGCAGAGUGCAGCGUGGGAGUUUCACCCUCACACCAUUGAGGUCACCUGCAAUCUGUGGUCUGUCUACAUCCACGAGAAGGUCCUGGGAACCCCACGGUGCCGGGCUCACCUGAAGAGUCCUGAAGAGAAGGCAUUCAAAACUACAUGAGAAACGGAGCGAGGCUGGACCAAUGGGAGAUGUGUGUUUGUCUGGAGACCUACCUACAGACUACCAGCAAAUACCGAGCGCUGCCGGGUUAGACAAGGCCGGCAGGAUGAACCUGCGGGUGGAGAAGUUUUCCCAGCAGGUGAAAAGGAACCUGCUCCCCUUCUUCAAGGCCUGGGGGUGGCCUGUUGGAACGGACCUAGCCCAAAAACUGUCAGCUCUGCCUGCGUGGAAGGAGAACCCAAUGAAAGAUUACAUCUGAGCCACAGGCAUUGUUAAUGAGGGGCUGUGUGAGAGACAGGGCACCCCGUCACCUGUGUGUCUGCACAGGCAUUGUAUGAAAAAUAAUGAAAUCUAAACAGAGUGUGGUGGUCAUUAUCCAACUGAAGUGCCUUCCAGCAUGUUGCAAUUCAGUGCAUUUUUUUUUUUGUAAACAUAAAUAAAUUUUGUGUGUGUGUAUGCCUUACUGUUUACCUGUAAAACCAAUAAAGACAAUGGCUCGCUUUUAAAAUGCCUCCAACUACUGUAUAAGCAGGAAUGGCAAUAAGACUCCUAUUACACAGUAGUUUCACCCAUUCUAGGUUUUACCACAUGCUUGAUUAACAACAACUGCUAUGCAAAGGGAGUCUUAUUUCCACCCCUGUAUAAGCGACAUAGUUGUUAUGCAUUAGCACAGGUGAAAUGUCAGGGUACUUGCUGCUACGAUGCAAAGGACCUUUUGAUGCAGAGAUGAACCGCAGAAUGUACAACAUUAAAAUGCAAUGCAAUGCAAUGCCAAUCUGAAAUGACCCUCCUAAACCCUGACAAAUACUCCAGACAAGCACUUAGUCCCCCGAUCACAGCUCGUUCAAAUACAUCUGUAAUAAAAUACUUCAACAACUCUCAUGGUUGUACUGCUUGAAUGAGUCGUGCUGUA